AUUGAACGCUGGCGGCAGGCUUAACACAUGCAAGUCGAGCGAGAGGCGGACGGGUGAGUACUGUCUGGGACACUGCCUGAUGGAGGGGGAUCACUACUGGAAGCGGUAGCUAAUACCGCAUACCAUCAGAUUUGCCACGAUGGGUUUAGCUAGUAGGUGGGGUAAUGGCUCACCUAGGCGACGAUCCCUAGCUGGUCUGAGAGGAUGACCAGCCACACUGGAACGGAGACACGGUCCAGACUCCUACGUGAGGCAGCAGGGGGGAAUAUGGCACAAUGGGCGCAAGCCGGAUGCAGCCAUGCCGCGUGUGUGAAGAAGGCCUUCGGGUUGUAAAGCACUUUCAGCGAGGAGGCGUUACUCGCAGAAGAAGCACCGGCUAACUCCGUGCCAGCAGCCGCGGUAAUUC
rnacentral:rRNA from 1 species